CCUCCUCUAGAUUUGUGAGUAAAGAGGGAUGAGGGAAAAGAAACAAAACCACAGACGCAGCUUCAGACUCCUGCAUCCCAAAAGAAGCACCAGAUCAGCCAAAAAAGAAGAUGGGACCCCCAAGCCUCAUGCUGUGCUUGCUGUCCGCAACAGUGUUCUCCCUGCCGGGUGGAAGCUCAGCCUUCCUGUAGCACCACCGCCUGAAAGGCAGGUUUCAGAGGGACCGCAGGAACAUCUGCCCCAACAUCAUCCUAGUACUGAUGGACGACCAGGAUGCGGAGCUGGGUUCCAUGCAGGUGAUGAACAAGACCCGGCGCAUCAUGGAGCAGGGCGGGGCGCACUUCAUCAACGCCUUCGUGACCACGCCUAUGUGCUGCCCCUCGCGCUCCUCCAUCCUCACCGGCAAGUACGUCCAUAACCACAACACCUACACCAACAACGAGAACUGCUCCUCGCCCUCCUGGCAGGCGCAGCAUGAGAGCCGCACCUUCGCCGUGUACCUCAAUAGCACCGGCUACCGGACAGGUGAGCAGGGACGGGGUUGGGUGCAGGAAGGGAGUGACAGCCGGGGCGGGCAUCCCUGGGUGUGGUCUGUGCGCCACUGCGGUACCCGAGAUGAUUCUGGAUAGCCCCUAGAGCAACUCUUAUAAUUUCAGAGUUGUGCAUUUAUUUCUGUGUGUAUUAGAGAAAUACAGAUGUAUUUGCCUACAGUAGUGAUGCAAAGUGACCUUGUCAAAGGAAUUUGAGAUCCCCCUCCCAAAAAAGUGAGUCUUUUCAAAAUAUGAAUUAUAGUGCAGAGAGGCCACAAGGUGCCCGUGCAUGAGUUUGCAUCCUCUGUUAAUUAUUAUUAAGCACAUCAGGGACUGUUGUGUUGACUUCAAACCAUCAGCUUGGAAGAAGGUUCCAAAACAUGGGGGUGGGGGAUGGGAAUUCAUGGAGGGGAACAGAUAUGGGGCUGUGUGGUCGCUCUCUACAUGGCGGUAACCAAGGUGGUGCAGAAGCUGACGUGGUGGUUAACUGUCCACACUCACCCGGUAAGUGUUGUCCUCGGUGGAGGGUGACCUGGUUCCUGUUUGCUUAUCCUGCAGGAGGUCUUUGGUGGGCUCUGAAGGCUCACCUGCCAGGCUGGUUGUCUGAGGUAGAGAUGCAAUUACAGUAUAGUUACUUACCACAAGCUCUAUUGCAAAACCCUCCAGACUCAAUUAAUUUAACUUGCUUUAAUUAAAAAUAAAUACUCUCCACCUUGGGUA
rnacentral:lncRNA from 1 species